ensembl:snRNA U6 U6 spliceosomal RNA
GCUUGUUUGGGCAGCAUAUACUGUAAGUAGAAUGAUACAGAGAUGUUUAGCACGACUCCUGCCCACGGAUGGCAUGCAAAUUCAUGAGGAGUUCCAUAAUAUU